GGCAGGGAGCGGGGUCAGAAGGCGUCUGCCCCAGGCCUGGGUCCUAGGGCCUGUCCUUGGAGGGACCACACAUGCCUGGAGAGAGGCUCCAGUGGCCGGCUCCAGGUGGGCGCUGAUGCAGAAGGCCCAAGGAGGACCCUGCCACAUGUUGCAGGGACCCGUGGGUGCUGUGCACAACCUGCCUCAUCCAUCCCCGCCGAAGAAGAGGGGGUGCUCAUGGCUGGCUGAUUUGUGAGGGGGCCACGUAAGCAGCUCUUGCAGGGCGUGGCUUGUGGGUUUGGGAGACAGACAAAUGGGCAGUCAGACAGAGGCGUGGACAGGAUGCCCUCUCUGCUGUCUGCCGCCCAGGCCUCUGGAGGUGUUCUGGGAUGGGUCUAAGGAAAACUCAACAAUUCUUGAGCGAAUAAUGCCCGGGCAACCAGCUCCCUGCAUUUCAUAAGGGCCGGAAUUGCCAUCCAAAAGGUUAUUUUGGGUGACUGUGGUCAGUCAUCAUUCCAAAGCUUUUCCCUAAACUCAGAGCCAGGUGUGGCCUCCAGGGCUGAGGAGCCUGAGAGGUGGGACUGGCAGGCAGGGCUGUGGCCCCAGCGUGGCACGGAAGCAGCCAGGAAACACUGGCUCUGGGGGGCUGUGGUGGGAGGAGGUCCUCUGCAGGGACCCCUGUGGACCGAGGCUUUUGGAGGCAAGUGGACAGUAGGUGUCUCUUAGACCCCUGCGGGGGCACACGACCAGGACCACAAGGGGCCCACACACGCACAGUGGCCCGGAGCCAACCAGCAAACCCCAGGACCUUAGAUACAGCCCGGCGAGUGAGUUAGGAUUGCUCCGGCUAGCUGUGUGAUCAUCCACAGUGCCAGAGAACAGUGCCUCGAGACCACAGUGGCAGCUGGCUUACUUCUCGUGUGAACAGGAAACCCAGAGGUGGGCGACCCUCCAGUGGUGUGACGACUCCAUCUGUCACCACAGCCCCGGGCUCCCGCCUUCCUGCUCCUUGGGCUCACAGCUCUGUGCUUGAGGCAGGUCUAAGACAGGCUGGAGUGCGGCCAUCAUCCCAGCACUGAUGGAUAGAAGAAAAUGAAGCUGGGAUGAGAAACGCGGGGCUUUCCCUGGCAGUCUGGCCCUGUAUGGAGGCCCCUUCCCAGAGUGCGUCCCACUGGCUUCCUCUUCUAUCUUGCAGUCACACCUAGCUGCAAGGCGGGAAGAUGUCACAGGUUUGAAAGGGCCGAAAAGAAGGUUCAGAAAUGAAAACUAUGACAAGGCGCUUGCCAGCAUUAGCUGCAGAGUCGACAGAGACGAGGAGAUAAUGUGUGAAGUGGUAGAAAAAUGAGAAGAGAUUGUUCAGUGUGCAGGGCAGAGAGAUGGCGAGAUGGGAGCUGUGAGGAGAGCCGGGUGGCCGGGAGCCUCCCGGGGGCAGAUCUGUGCUGAGGUUUUGCAGGGAUCAGCUGGCUGUCUCCGCCCCUGCACGUCCCGGCUCCUUCUCAGCUCACCCUUUCUUGUUGUGCCAUGACAGGUGGCUGCCACGCACAGCAAUGCUGUUGAAUCUCAGAAAUUAAACAACCUGAAAAGGCGUGAGAAGCUGGGCA
rnacentral:lncRNA from 10 species